CAAGCGAACAAGUGCAUGUGGUGGAUGCCUUUGGCGAUCCACACGGCGAUGAAGGACGCGGUAGCCUGCCGAAAAAGCUACGGGAGCUGGCAAACGAGCUUUGAUCCCGUAGAUGUCCGAAUGGGGAAACCCGGCCCUUUUGGGUCCAUCCUAGACUGAAUACAUAGGUCUAGUGAGGCGAACGCGGUGUGAACUGAAACAUCUAAGUAACCGCAGAAAAGAAAUCAACCGAGAUUCCCAAAAGUAGUGGCGAGCGAAAUGGGAAGAGCCUGCCUCUCUUUAUUUGUAUUGUUUAGCCGAACGCUCUGGGAAAGUGCGGCCAUAGCAGGUGAUAGCCCUGUAGGCGAAAACAGUAUGAAAGAACUAGGUGUACGAACAAGUAGGGCGGGACACGUGAAAUCCUGUCUGAAAGAAGGGGGGACCAUCCUCCAGGGCUAAAUAGCUCGUGAUCGACCGAUAGUGAACCGAGUUUACCGGAUGAGGGAGAAACGAUGAAAGAACCCGGAGGGCAGUGAAUAGAUCUGCCGAGCUCAUGCAGUACCCCCAAGAUACGGCGUACACCUUAGUAAAAUGUGAGCGUACUUAUACUUGUUACGGUAGUGAAGCGCAAGUCCGAAUCAAGAGCUUAAACGGUUGACUGGGCGUAGAUCCGAAACCCAGGCUGACUAUCCAUGGGCCAGGGAUGAAGGUGCCGGUAACACGUACUGGAGGUCCGAACCCACUAACGUUGCAAAUUUAGGGGAUGAGCUCGUGGAUUGAGUGGAUAGUGAAGGCUAAACAAACCUGGAAAUAGGCUGGUUCUCUCCGAACAAGCUAUUUUAGGUAGUGCCUCGGUGUCUCACCUUCGGGGGGUAGAGCACUGUCAUGGUUGGGGGGGUCUAUUGCAGAUUACCCCGCGCAUAGCAAACUCCCGAAUACCGAGAGUGCAAUCACGGAGACAGACAUCGGGUGCUAACGUCCGGUGUCAAGAGGGAAACAAACCCAGACCGCCAGCUAAGGUCCCCCAAAUAUGGCUAAGUGGGAAACGAAGUGGGAAGGCUAAAAACAGUCAGGAGGUUGGCUUAGAAGCAGCCCCCUUUAAAGAAAGCGUAAUAGCUCACUGAUCGAGUCGUCCCUGCCGCGGAAGAUGUAACGGGGCUAAGCCAUAUACCGGAAGCUUGCGGAUGCGAGCUAGUCUCGCCAUGGUAGGAGGACGCGUUCCGUAAGCCUGCGAAGGUGCGUUGAAAAGCGUGGCUGGAGGUAUCGGAAGUGCGAAUGCUGACAUGAGUAGCGAUAAAGGGGGGGUGAAAGGCCCCCUCGCCGUUAGCCCAAGGUUUCCUACGCAACGUUCAUCGGCGUAGGGGUAGUCGGCCCCUAAGGCGCAGGCCAGAAAUGCGUAGGCUGAUGGGGGAAGCAGGUCAAUAUUCCUGCACCAUUGUUAGAUGCGAUGGGGGGACGGACGGAUCGCGGAAGGUUGUCCGGGUGUUGGAAUAGUCCCGGUUCGCGUUCAUUGGAGAAGGGCGCUUAGGCAAAUCCGGGGGCGCAGGAUUCAAGGGUGUGGCGGCGAGCUCCUUCGGGGAGGCAAAGCAAUUGGAAGUGGUUCCAAGAAAAGCCCUCUAAGCUUCAGGGUCUAACGAUGACCGGUAACCCGCAAACCCGACCACAGGUGGGGCGAGAUGAGUAUUCUAAGGCGCUUUGAGAGAACUCGGGAGAAGGAACUCAGGGGCCAAAUUGGUACCGCGUAACUUCGGGAUAAGGUACGCCCUGGUAGCUUGACUGGCCUGCGCCAGAAGGGUGAAGGGGUUGCAAUAAACUGGUGGCUGCGACUGUUUAAUAAAAACACAGCACUCUGCAAACACGAAAGUGGACGUAUAGGGUGUGACGCCUGCCCGGUGCCGGAAGAUUAAAAUGAUGGGGUGCAAGCUCUUGAUUGAAGUCCCGGUAAACGGCGGCCGUAACUAUAACGGUCCUCAAGGUAGCGAAAUUCCUUGUCGGGUAAGUUCCGACCUGCACGAAUGGCGUAACGAUGGCCACACUGUCUCCUCCCGAGACUCAGCGAAGUUGAAGUGUUUGUGAUGAUGCAAUCUACCCGCGGCUAGACGGAAAGACCCCAUGAACCUUUACUGUAGCUUUGCAUUGGACUUUGAACCGAUCUGUGUAGGAUAGGUGGGAGGCUAUGAAACCGGAACGCUAGUUUCGGUGGAGCCGUCCUUGAAAUACCACCCUGGUUUGUUUGAGGUUCUAACCUUGGCCCGUGAUCCGGGUCGGGGACAGUGCAUGGUAGGCAGUUUGACUGGGGCGGUCUCCUCCCAAAGCGUAACGGAGGAGUACGAAGGUACGCUAGGUACGGUCGGAAAUCGUGCUGAUAGUGCAAUGGCAUAAGCGUGCUUAACUGCGAGACCGACAAGUCGAGCAGGUGCGAAAGCAGGUCAUAGUGAUCCGGUGGUUCUGUAUGGAAGGGCCAUCGCUCAACGGAUAAAAGGUACUCUGGGGAUAACAGGCUGAUACCGCCCAAGAGUUCAUAUCGACGGCGGUGUUUGGCACCUCGAUGUCGGCUCAUCUCAUCCUGGGGCUGUAGCCGGUCCCAAGGGUAUGGCUGUUCGCCAUUUAAAGAGGUACGUGAGCUGGGUUUAAAACGUCGUGAGACAGUUUGGUCCCUAUCUGCCGUGGGCGUUGGAAGUUUGAAGGGGGCUGCUCCUAGUACGAGAGGACCGGAGUGGACGAACCUCUGGUGUACCGGUUGUGACGCCAGUCGCAUCGCCGGGUAGCUAUGUUCGGAAGAGAUAACCGCUGAAAGCAUCUAAGCGGGAAACUCGCCUUAAGAUGAGACUUCCCCGGGGACUUGAUCCCCUUGAAGGGUCGUUCGAGACCAGGACGUUGAUAGGUCGGGUGUGUAAGCGCAGUAAUGCGUUCAGCUAACCGAUACUAAUUGCCCGUACGGCUUGAUCC
rnacentral:rRNA from 1 species